AGCGAACACUGGCGGCAGGCCUAACACAUGCAAGUCGAACGAAGUCUUCGGACUUAGUGGCGGACGGGUGAGUAACACGUGGGAACGUGCCUUUAGGUUCGGAAUAACUCAGGGAAACUUGUGCUAAUACCGAAUGUGCCCUUCGGGGGAAAGAUUUCUCGCCUUUAGAGCGGCCCGCGUCUGAUUAGCUAGUUGGUGAGGUAAAGGCUCACCAAGGCGACGAUCAGUAGCUGGUCUGAGAGGAUGAUCAGCCACAUUGGGACUGAGACACGGCCCAAACUCCUACGGGAGGCAGCAGUGGGGAAUCUUGCGCAAUGGGCGAAAGCCUGACGCAGCCAUGCCGCGUGAAUGAUGAAGGUCUUAGGAUUGUAAAAUUCUUUCACCGGGGACGAUAAUGACGGUACCCGGAGAAGAAGCCCCGGCUAACUUCGUGCCAGCAGCCGCGGUAACAC
rnacentral:rRNA from 1 species